CGCGGGAUAGAGCAGUAGCAGCUCGCCGGGCUCAUAAUCCGGAGGUCGGGGGUGCAAAUCCCCCUCCCGCAACCA
rnacentral:tRNA from 1 species